GCAAGUCGAGCGCGAAAACACUUCGGUGUGAGUAGAGCGGCGGACGGGUGAGUAACGCGUAAGAAUCUACCUAGUAGUGGGGGACAACUCGAGGAAACUCGAGCUAAUACCCCAUACGCCCUACGGGGGAAAGCGGGGGACCUUCGGGCCUCGCGCUAUUAGAUGAGCCUGCGUAGGAUUAGCUUGUUGGUGAGGUAAGAGCUCACCAAGGCGACGAUCCGUAGCUGGUCUGAGAGGAUGAUC
rnacentral:rRNA from 1 species